AGCUAUCAAUAAUUUUAAGAAGUUGAGAAGUUUCCAGUCUCAAUCUCACUAACAAAAUAGAAUUCUUUUCGAGCUCCUCCGAAUUGCCCUCCCUGAAACCCUUGCCUUCAUCACACAUGCCUCCUUUGUAUUGGCCAUCCCUUAAAAUCGUAGCCUCCACCGCUCGCCGCUCCUCUGCAUUAGCCUCCGCCGCGCGCCCCUCCUCUACAUUGGCCAUCCCUUGGAACCCGAGCCUCCACCACUCGCCUCCUCUGCAUUAGCCUCCCUUCGAACAGUAGCCUCCACCAUGUGUGCCUCCUCACAUUGGUCCUCAUUGAAACCCUAGCCUCCACCUGCGCGCCUCCUUUGCACUAAACCCUCCCUGGAACCACCUCUAGUUGAGCUUGCUGCAAUUCGUCGACAUCUGGAGCUCGUACCCUUAUCGUUGUGUGACAGAGCUUUAUCCCGCGACCACCACCGCAUCUUUUCACCUGCAGCUAGGCUUCCCAAGGUUACGUUAGGGAGAACUGGAUUUAUUGUGACACUUAGGAGAAGGAUAAAUGGGUUUAGUGCCGCUGUGAAUGGGAUUUGAAAACCCAAGGUUCAAGCUCCAAUCGUUUCUCGACGAGGUGUUGCGGCCGGCUCUUGGUGUUAAGGAUGAUGGUUUGCUGAUGAUGGUGUCAAGUGCUUCGACCGGCUUAGUCGCUUCUAUGUAUGACCUUUCAAAUUUGUUAAAUUGCAUUGUUAUGAGAUAAUCUUGGGAUUAUCACAUGAUAGAAAAUUAGAAUAAAGAAAUGUGAAAUUCUAUGUGACUUGGCUAUGAUUAUCUACUCAUGUUGGUUUGAUAAUUUGAUAUUUCACUGUGAUAUAGUUUGUAGAGUCUGACAAAUUUUUUUCUGUGAUAGGACAAAAUUUGGGUUGUAGUCAGCUUAUUUUAUACUCCAUC